rnacentral:rRNA from 1 species
UACGUAGGGGGCAAGCGUUGUCCGGAUUUAUUGGGCGUAAAGAGCGUGUAGGCGGCCAAACAGGUCAGCUGUGAAACUCGAGGCUCAACCUCGAGACGUCGGUUGAAACCGUUUGGCUAGAGUCCGGAAGAGGAGAGUGGAAUUCCCGGUGUAGCGGUGAAAUGCGCAGAUAUCGGGAAGAACACCCGUGGCGAAGGCGGCUCUCUGGGACGGUACUGACGCUGAGACGCGAAAGCGUGGGGAGCGAACAGGA